rnacentral:rRNA from 1 species
AGAGUUUGAUCCUGGCUCAGGACGAACGCUGGCGGCGUGCUUAACACAUGCAAGUCGAACGGAGCACCCCUGAAAGAGUUUUCGGACCAUGGAAGGGAAUGCUUAGUGGCAGACUGGUGAGUAAGGCGUGAGGAACUUGCAUUCCAGAGGUGGACAACAGUUGGUAACGACUGCUCAUACCGCAUGGUGUGUUUCGAUGGCAUCAUCGAGACACCAAAGAUUUAUCGCUGGAAGAUGGCGUCGCGUCUGAUUAGCUGGUAUGCGGGGUAGCGUCCCACUUAGGAGACGAUCACUAGCCGGACUGAGAGGUUGACCGGCCCCAUUGUGAUUGAGAUGCGGCCCAGACUCAUUCGGGAGGCAGCAGUGGGGAAUAUUGCCCAACGGGCGCAAGCAUGACCCAGCAACGCCGCGUGAAGGAAGAUGGCUUUCGGGUGUGUAAACUUGUUUUAAUAGUGAAGUCCAGAAGAUGGUACCUGUUGAAUAAUCCACGGCUUACUUCGUACCAGCAGCCGUGGUAAUAAGUAGGUGACAAUUGUUGUCAGUAUUUGGUGGGUGUAAAGGGGCAGCAGCCCGGAAGACAAGUCAGAUGUGUAAUCCCGCUGCUCACCCGCGGACCUUCAUUUGAAGCUGUUUUUCUUGAGUACCGGAGAGGUCAUAGGAAUUCCUUGUGUAGCGGAGAAAUGGGUAUAUAUAAGGAAGAACACCAGUGGGGAUGGCGGAUGACUGGACGGCAACUGUCGGUGAGGCGAGAAAGCGUGGGACCGGACUAGGAUCAGAUACAGUGGUAGUCGUCACAGUAAGAGAUGAAUACUCGGUGUUUGUGAUAUACGGCAAGCGGGCGAGCGAAAGCAUUGAGUAUUCCACGUGGGGAGUACGCGGGCAGCGGUGAAUCUCAAAGGAAUUGGCGGGGGCCCGCACAAGCGGAGGCACAUGUGGUUUAAUUAGAUGAUACGAGAGGCACCUUCCCCGGGCUUAAAUUGCGCGUGGAUAAUGUGGAAACAUCUUUCCUGUAAGGCAUGUGUGAAGGUGCUGCAUGGUUGUCGUCAGCUCGUGCCGUGAGGUGUCGGAUUAAGUUCCAUAACGAGCGCAACCCUUAUGUUCAGUUACUAACAGGUCAUGCUGAGGACUCUGGAGAGACUGCCGUCGUAAGAUGUGAGGAAGGUGGGGAUGACGUCAAAUCAGCACGGCCCUUACGUCCGGGGCUACACACGUGUUACAAUGGGGUAAACAGAGGGAAGCGAGCCCGCGAGGGGGAGCAAAUCCCAAAAAUCCCUUCCCAGUUGGGAUGGUAGUUUGCAACCGGAUCACAGGAAGCGGGAAUCGUUAGUAAUCGGGGAUCAGAAUGCCGCGGUGAAUACGUUCCCGGGUCUUGCACUCACCGCCCGUCA